rnacentral:rRNA from 1 species
AGAGUUUGAUCCUGGCUCAGAACGAACGCUGGCGGCAGGCUUAACACAUGCAAGUCGAACGGUUGUAGCAAUACAGCAGUGGCGCACGGGUGAGUAACGCGUGGGAACGUGCCUUGAAGUUGGGAAUAACGUCGGGAAACUGACGCUAAUACCCGAUACGCCCUCCGGGGGAAAGAUUUAUCGCUUCAAGAUCGGCCCGCGUUAGAUUAGCUAGUUGGUGGGGUAAUGGCCUACCAAGGCUCCGAUCUAUAGCUGGUCUGAGAGGAUGACCAGCCACACUGGAACUGAGACACGGUCCAGACUCCUACGGGAGGCAGCAGUGGGGAAUAUUGGACAAUGGGGGAAACCCUGAUCCAGCCAUGCCGCGUGAGUGAUGAAGGCCUUAGGGUUGUAAAGCUCUUUUGUCAGGGAAGAUGAUGACGGUACCUGAAGAAUAAGCACCGGCUAACUUCGUG